UACGGAGGGGGCGAGCGUUAUUCGGAAUUAUUGGGCGUAAAGGGUGCGUAGGCGGCACCACAAGUCACUUGUGAAAUCUUUGGGCUUAACCCAAAGCGGCCAAGUGAUACUGUGGAGCUAGAGUGCAGAAGGGGCAACUGGAAUUCUCGGUGUAGCGGUGAAAUGCGUAGAUAUCGAGAGGAACACCUGCGGCGAAGGCGGGUUGCUGGGCUGACACUGACGCUGAGGCGCGAAAGCUAGGGGAGCGAACGGG
rnacentral:rRNA from 1 species